UACGGAGGGUGCAAGCGUUACCCGGAAUCACUGGGCGUAAAGGGCGUGUAGGUGGCGACACAAGUCUGGCUUUAAAGACCGAGGCUCAACCUCGGGACUGGGCUGGAGACUGUGUUGCUAGAGGUCUGAAGAGGUAAGCGGAAUUUCGGGUGUAGCGGUGGAAUGCGUAGAUACCCGAAGGAACACCAAUGGCGAAGGCAGCUUACUGGGCAGAACCUGACACUGAGGCGCGAAAGUGUGGGGAGCAAACCGG
rnacentral:rRNA from 1 species